AGCUCCCAGCCUAUCUGCGCGAGCUUCUGUGUCCUAAAUAACUUGGGAGUUACCAGUCUUCUUUAAGGAUCUGGUGUUCUAAAAGGUUUCUAAAGAAUUUUAUGAGGUUUUUAUUACUUAAUUGACAAGAAUUUAUUAGCUAGAGUGGCAAGUAAAUAAGGACGUCUUAAAAACAAAAAGUUGUUUUACUUCCCAUUUCACUUUCUCUCUCUCUAGCUGUUUUCCUUCACUAAUAUUUCCAAAACACACAACAACAGUUGGCAUCGCUCGCAUAUAAACAGCUCUUCCAUGUCACUGAGAAAACGAGCAAGAUCCAGGGAGGAAAAAUGGAUACAGGAUAUAAAUAGAAAAUCCUCAAAACAGGAAUUUCAAAAUGUCAACAAACAGGCAAAACUUUCUUUCAACAGCGCUAUUAUGACUGGUAUGUUUCACUUGCUUUUUUUUUUUUUUUCUUUUUCUCCAGCAAAUUGCUCAAAUGUCGGUGUGCUCUCAUGAACAGAAACGAUGGCACGGUGGGUCCUGGUCUCAAGACUUCCUCUCAAUGAUUCAGAGGUCUUGGGGGUUUUUUGUCUGAAUAUCAGGCAAAGAGGAAGGACGGCUACAAUGGAGGAGUCUCCUACCACGCUUGUGGUCGUCACUGUAGUGCUCAGUUGAAUGGUGUGUCCAUUGGGGUUGGAGUCCCCAUCCUGUUCUGGGUCCUGGCCCCCCACAGGCUCCAGGGACAUAACCCUUCCAGUUCAGGAUCAUGUGCUGGGGCACUGUUCCCUGAGGUGGGACUCUGGGCUGUAACAGCUGCUUUUGAAGCAUGUUCCAGCUUCAACCACGUGCUUGGACGACACCAGCUCUUCCCACAUACUCUUCCCCAGCUCUUGUGUUGAGUUUGGCUUCCACCUUCCUCCAGCUGCAUCAGAACGGACACGAUUGCUAAGAAUUCCUUCAGAUCUGCCCAUGGCGUGGAGCCACUUCUUCACCGUUCCAGAGCCUAAACCCUGCGAAUCAUGGGUGGCUGGCUGGCAGAUGCUUCUCUUGAGAGUUGAUAGUGUCCUUGGGCCAACACUCAACCAAGGAGCCCUGCGGUGAGAUCACCUGUCACUCUAAGGAGAGAAACUGAUUCCUACAGAACAGAGCUGGGCUGCAGUGGCCUCAGGGCAAUAAUGUCACAGGCCUUUGAACGCAUUCAACAAAACUCCCAGUCUCUGGUUAACAAGCGAAUGCGCCUGAAAGAAUGGGACAGAUAAUGACAGGUGAAUGCCCCCUGACCUGUGUGGCCAAUGGCCCAGCAGGACUGGCAUUACUCCAAAAUUGUCAGAAAUCCAGGCUCUCAGGCCCCGCCCCACCACCCAAACCAGAAACCAUGUGGACAAGAUCUCCAGGUGAUUCAAAUGCACAAUAGGCCUGCAUGAGUAAUGCAUAUCAAGAAAUCUUCGCUUCCCUUAACUACCUAGCGGGACACCAAGGGAACCUCCUAGAAGAAGUCUUGGAUGGGAUGGGGCUGGAUGCCACCCCCUCAAAGGAGCACAGACCUGCUGGCCCCCCUUCCCUCCCUCUGCAGGCCAAGCUCAUGAGCUGUGGGGAGUGGGAGCAGGGGGUCCCUCCCACAUCCUCAGGAAGAAGCCACCAUGUCAUUGGGAGCCUGUGUUACACAUCAGUGUGUGAGGGAAGAAUCUGGAAACAACUGACUAAGAGGAUGGCAUGAUCUCAGCUCACUACAACCUCUGCUUCCUGGGUUCGAGCGAUUCUCCUGCCACAGCCUCCCGAGUAGCUGGGAUUACAGGCGUGUACCAACACACCCGGCUAAUUUUUUGCAUUUUUAGUAGAGAUGGAGUUUCACUCUAUUGGCCAGGCUGGUCACAAACUCCUCAACUCAAGUGAUCCACCCACCUUGGCCUCCCAAAAUGCUGGGAUUACAGGCGUGAGCCACCACUCCCGGCCAGGUAGUGACAGUUUUUAGAGGCUCUGGGUGCUUGGCCCUUGCCUUAAACCGAAUGCUUUAAAAGGCCUUUGAUCUCUGUCAAUAAAAUUGCAAGUGUGUACACACAUUUGACUUAACAAUCAUAAUAAUAAAACCUAAUGAACAGUCAAGACAUUUUUUAAAAAGACAUUUUGCUUGAAAGGCUUCUCAUCUAUCAUAGAACAACAGUGGCUUAGAGCUGGGGAAUCAUGUCUGUUUCUGUCCCCGAGCGAGUGCCUGCCAUAUCACAUGAGAAGGCAUAUCCGUCACUCAGGGGGUCUCCUGCCUCCUGCUGCCCUCAGCUGUUUUGAUCUAUUCUGGUCAUCUAGGGACUUGGCUGAAACUAGAAGGCAGACACAGUCUGAGAAUUAUUUUAUUCCUUUAUCAUCUCCCUGGGCAAUCUUUACUUUUAGGUUAAGAAAUAGCAUGUUCUUUUCCUUAAAGUUUUAAAAUUCCAUUUUCUUUUCAUUUUAUUGGAAAGACUAUUGCAAUGGAAAAGAGAGGCAGUUUUCUUAGAUGUUCAAUGCCUGUCUCCACUGGCCAGAUAAAUUCCAGUAGUGCUCCGUCAUUCUGUGAUUCUUCUUCGAGGCUACUGAGGGUGGCUAUCUGAGUUGAGCAGAAUAAACUUAAACAGGGCUGGGCGUGGUGGCUCACGCCUGUAAUCCCAACAGUUUGGGAGGCCGAGGCUGGGGGAUCAUUUGAAGUCAGGAGUUCAAAACCAGCCUGGCCAACAUGGCGAAACCCUGUCUCUACAAAAAAAUACAAAAAUUAGCCAGGCGUGAUGGCAUGUACCUGUAAUCUCAGCUACUUGGGAGGCUGAGGCAGGAGAAUCGCUUGAGCCCAGGAGGUGGAGGUUGCAGUGCACCGAGAUUGUGCCACUGCAUUCCAGCCUGAGUGACAUAGCAGGACUCCGUCUCAGAAGAAAGAAAGAAAAAGAAAGGAAAGAAAGAAAGAAAGAAAGAAAGAAAGAAAGGAAGGAAGGAAGGAAGGAAGGAAGGAAGGAAGGAAGGAAAGAAAGAGAGAAAGAGAGAGAAAGAAAGGAGAGAGAAAGAAAGAAAAAAGAAAGAAGGAAAGAAAGAAACUUAAAAGGGAAUUUGUUAAUCUCUAGAAAAUUUCUCUCAUGGAAAAUCACUUAGCUGAAGGGUAAAAGGAGACGCUCCCUUCAGUAACCUUCAGAAACGGCCCAUUUUCUACUGAGAAAUCACUUCACUUUCACUUGAGACGGGUUCUGGCCCCGCAGUUGUAAAAGCCUGGGAAUGAAUACUCUAGGUUUUCCUCCUGGUAUCAACACGGCAUGGUUUGGUAACCCCUUUCCUUGUGCCAUCUGUAGAAUGGUGGUAAACGUGCCCUACGUAGAUGUAGGUUAUACCUUCAGUGCAAUGGACUGAAUGUUUAUGUCCCUGUAAAAUGUAUAUGUGAAGACCGAAUUCCCAAUGUGUUGGCAACAGCAGGUGGGGGCUUUGGGAGGUGAUGCGAUUAUGAGGUUGGGGCCCCAUGAGUGAAAUCACUGCUCCCAUAAAAGAGACCUCAGAGUGAUGCCCCACUCCUUCCACCCUGUGAGGACAUGGGGAGAAGAUGUCAUCUAUGAGCCAGGAAAUAGGCUGUCACUAGACAUCAAAUCUGCCAGCAUCUUCAUCCUGGACUCCCAGCCUCAAGGAAUCCAUUGAGAAUACAGUGUGUUGUUCAUAAGCUACAGAGUCCUGGUCUUUUGUUACAGCAGCCAGAAUGGACAAAGAAUGCCGCGAAACUGUCUCCCUUCUGGCUUUCCCUCAGUGGCCUCUCCUUUCGUUUCUCAUCAUCAGUGUCUGCCCCUGCAUUGACAUGGCGGCUUGACAUCAUACUUCCUAUCAAGGUGAGAUUAAAUAGAACUUCAUACCUACUCCCUCUCCGACCAUCUCCUGUGGGCCCCAGCUCCUCUGCUGCCUGGUGAACAAAUGCAAGAAAGAAUGAUAUCCAGCCCCUCGGCAUGUCUGGCAAUGUCAGGAGUGAGAAUGCAGGGUGGCAACCGUGGACAGGCUGGCCUCUGAGGAAGCACUAAGGUCCUGGGGUCCGUGCCCCGCACAGCACAUGGAGCAGGCCCACAGGCUGCUGUCAUGAGCACCACGGUAGAGUUGCCACACAGAGUCUUAGUGUAAAAUACCAUGAGUUUAUUUGACAAAAGGUAGCCCCAAGAAAAUGUUUCAAGCAGGAUAACAUAAGUGCAGAGUCUGUGUUUAUGGAUCUUUAACCCAAACUUUCCCACCUGAAUGUGAUUCCUGGAUAAACCCGAGACGCGAGUGUGAGUUAGGCUGGUUUUAGUGAACUAUAAAUACGAACAGUUUUCAUUUUUAUUAAGCAUGCAACAUUGUAUUAUUUAAUAUCACCUUAAUUUGAACUUUGGAAGCUUUGAUGAUUGCACCCUAUAUUCCUAGUCAGCAUUAAUAGAGUAAUACUAUUUUUUUCCCCUAAUUUCUUUGGUGAUGGGACCGCCUAUAUUUACAUUGCUGGACUGAGUAAAGGAAUGUGGCUAAGAAUACUGGCCUACAACUAAUGAGAGGUGAUAUUGUUUAAUGAUCUAGGAGUUUUGGAUUGAGAAAAACCCAGAUUCAAGCUCAAGACCUAGAAUCCAGAUCAAAUUCUGCUACUUACUAACUACAUGAACUUUAAUAAACAUUUUUCUUUAAUGCCUCUGAAAAUAAGACUUAUCAGAUGCAGUAGUUCAUACCUGUAGCCCCAGCAUUUUGGGAGGUCAAGGCUGGAGGAUCAAAGCCAGGAGUUUGAGAUCAGGAGUUUGAGGGCAACAUAGUGAGACCCUGUCUCUUACAAAAAGACUAAUAAAGAGACCCACCUCACUGGUGGUUUGUGUUUGAGACAAUGGAAGGAGCAAUGAACGCUGGAUCAAGAGGAAAACACGACAACACGACGUUGACUGAUGCACAACAUUCAUUGCCAGAGAGAACAGAACGUUUUGGGAUUAUGAGCAAAACAAGCACACUGCUUCUAAGAUGACACACCAACAGUGGUUUAUGCCAUCUUUUCAUCAUUGUGACAAAUGCCACUUCAUUUAGCAUUUUCUUGUGUUCACUAUGAAUACUACUCAAUAUUUUAGUAGACCAAGGACCCCAGAUAUUCAUGCUCCCAGCCAUGAUGUCAGCUCCCUUCUUCUGGGCAGUUGUCCCCAGAGCACCCCACCUACCACCAGCGGCCCUGGGGCUCUCAGAGAUGCUCACAGCAAGUGUCUGCCCGGUAUCUGAUAAACAAGUUAAGUGGGAUCUGUCAGGGAGGUAUCUGGAGAGAGGUGGAGUGGGGCAGGGGACAUGCAUAUUUACUCCCUUCAAGCACCAAUCCAUGUAGCUCACAGAAAGCAAACUCAGAGUGCUUAAAGCAAAAAGGGGCCCCUGUCCUGUCUGAUCCUGCCCUGCACAGUCUUUGAGUUUAUAGCAGCAGCUCCAGGCAGAUAGUGGGCUGAGCACAGUCCCUGGAGAUGAGGCCCUUUUGAGAAAUUACCUCUGUCCCCAAGAGUGACUCCUGUUUCUCAGUUGGUAGCUGAUUCAUCUGAGACCAUCUCAUUGCAGAAUUGACUUAGUAGCAAAGUCCUGUCUGAGAACACAGGCUUCUGGGGGAGAGGCCUCCAAGCCAAGUGACUCCUCAAAUAGGACAUGAGUUGCAUAGGUUCUCUGAGCUCCUGUUUUCUUGUCCAUGAGCUGAAGACAGUAAAGGAAAUGGCAGGGUUUCCACGAGGAGUGAAGGAGCCCAAGGAGGGGGUCACAGGUGUUGCUGUGUAGGAGUUUAUUCCCUGCCUUGCCUAGGAAUUUAUUCCUGUAAAUCCAUUUCCUUACUCACUUUUAAAAUUCACCAUUUCUUCAUAUGCUUGUCACUGUUACUACAUUUGGGUCACUCUUCUGUGGCCCUCGAGGACUUUGGGGACACUCGGGUUUCCUCUGAUAUUUCAUGCCAUGACUCACCUAUGUGCAUGUCAACGGCCCACCCAGCACCCUACCUUCAAAAUUUAUGAAUUUCCUCCACGCCCACAACUUUAACCUUUGUUUCACUUCUAGAAUCCACUCAAGGGACAGGCCCUGGCCCUCCCCUUUACCAGUAACUCCUGUCUUUCUCUAUCUCAGAAGUUCCUUUUUCUUGGGACACAUGCCUGAGCCCCUUCUCCCUGCCAGUGUCCUCACCCUGGCAGAGCACAUUGCUCCUUUUCACUGUGCAGCCAGUCUUUAGGUCACCCGGCUCCUCCUCAUUCAUCAGCCCCCUCUUGUCUUGCUUCCCUCAUUCUAGUUCUGGACAUACGAUUCUAUUUAAAAAUCCACUCCCACUAUCCCUUUCAAUAUUCUCACUCAACGAAUGUUUACUGAAUGAUAACACCCUUCCAAAUAACCUCUUCCACUUCCUUCUCUCUCACCCUCAUAUCCACUUAGAGAGUUUCCUCUCUUUAGCUUAGUCACUCAUGACCCACUCAUAUUUUAUGACAUCUAAAGCAAUAUCAGUAACAAAAUGCACCAUGGCAUUAUGCACCACAGAGAAAGCAAACAUGCUGCCAAUUAAAGUAGAAAAAAGCCAUCAAUCGUAAGAUGCAUUCUGCUUUCAAAGCUGUUAAAAUAUGAAAAUAUAUGCAUCCUAUAAUAUACAAAGUAAUGGCAUUUUUUAGAUCCCUGCAAAGAUACUUCCUAAUCUUCUUUUCUCUCUGAUAUUAAAUUUCAUGAAAGAGACUGAGCUGUGAAGCCCUGACUCUUACUUCCCAGAGAGUCUUUAUUCUACUACCAUUUGGAUCCCUCUUCUAAUAAAACUGCUCUCUUAAAAAUCGUGAGUCACGUCACAAUUGCCAGCCCUGAGGCAGUGUCUAAGGCUGUCCUUCCCAGGGCCACAGCCUGAGCUGACGCUGCUGGCUGUCUUUCCUUCCUACAAUGCUGCCCUUCAUUCUGAGGAUACAUCUUCUGCUUAUUGUCACACGUUGGUUAAUCCUUCUCAGUUUUCAGACUAACGACUGCUUACCUGCAUUAUUUCUUCAUGGUCCCAUCUUCUAUCCUUGCGAUCUGUAGUUCCUCUUUUUGAAACCUCCCAAAUCAGACUUUUUGCCCUCAGGACAUACCCUCAAAGCGACUGGGUAAGUCAACCUGUAGCACUCACGCUGAUAAAUCAAAACAUCAGGUCCCCAUUAUCCUCAGCUCUGAACUGCCAGUGGAAUUCAGCCCAGGCAUUCACUGCUUAUGUGUGAAGAUGCUUCACUUCAGUGCCAUGCACAAAGCAUGCUCUCUUGCACAGACUCAUGUCACCUAAGAGGCUACAUCUUCAGAUCACUAAUUCCUACACAACUCACAAAAAUGCUUGAGCCUAGUCCUUAAAACUUGCUCUCUUUCAGGUCAGAUCUAGCCCCUUUACAUUGAGUAGAGUUGGCUUCUCAGGUUUAGACUCCAGGUUUACCUCUGCAGCUUUAACCUUCACACUAACCCUAUCCUUAAUUCUAAUCCUAACCUUAACCCUAACCCUAACCCUAAACUUACCCCAAAUGCUAACCCUAGCAACCUAACCAUAGCCCUGACUUUAGCCCUAACCCUAACCCUAACCCUAACCCUAGCACUAACCCUAACCCUGAUCUCCAGGCUUGUGCCCUUCAUCACCUGCUUGCCAUUGCCUUGGUCACAUAAUCAGCAUCUCACACAUGUGACAUCCAAAGAUAGAUUCCCAGUGUUACCAGACUGGCUCUUUCCACUGUCGUCUCCAUCUCACGAACAGACAAGUCUCUCCUUCCUGUUCCAAAGACCAAAGAACAGGAGGCUAGCUUUGAUUCCUCUCCUCACACCUCUGAGUUAUCUCCCUCCCAGUAGCUCUAGCUAUGAAAAGAGACUCAGAAUCCAUGGCAUGUCUCCGCUUGCACGGCUGCUUUGCUGGGUUCAUGCAGGCAUUACUUGCCCUCUGGACUGUUGCAGUGGCCCUUGACUGCCUUCCCACUUUCUUUCCCUCCCGACACUGCUCCACCACAGGCAUCCUCCACACAGCAUCCAGAGUAAGCAACUAGAGUUCCAUCAUGCCACUAGGCUUAACCUCUGCAAUCUCUUCCUGUCUCAACACAGGAAAUGCCAGAGCCUGUUCAGGCAUCUCAGGCUUGUUCUCCUACAUUCUCUUUCCUUCCCUCAACUCAGCCACACUGGUUUCUUGAUGUUCUCAAUGAUGGCAAAAAUUGGUCACUUCAGGGCCUUUUCCAGGACUGGUCUCUCAGCCAAGAAUGUUCUUCUUCCAGAUUUUCCUGUGGCUCAUUCCUUUGUUUCUUCACAUCCUUUUGCUUCUCCUUAAAAGCAUCAUAUUCUCAUCCCCUGACACGAGGAUAACUAUGCCUCUUUACUGUGGUUGCAGUGAUUUAAAAGAACACGCAAGAGAGCCUGUCGCUGUGUCUAACCUGUCAUAUAUGCUCAAUGAGUGGUGUCUGUCAGUGUUCUUAAAAAGUUAUUUUUAGUGUAACAACUAUCUUUUCCCUUCAUUUUAUGAUUUUUGUUUUAAUUCUUGAUGACCUUUAACUUGCAUUGAUAGCUUCCUCAAUCACUUUUUAAAGGCAAGAGUAGCAAUUAUCAAUGAAAAAACUAGGAUAAAUAAGGAUUCUGAAAUAUACUCAUCAUAGGACAAAGUAUGCUGAUAACCAGGACUCAGAGUUUGAGACUUUAUGCACAUUUCCCAAAAUAAACUUCCUUAAAGAAUGAUUGCUUCUAACUUGUAAGUUUUCAGACCCUGGAACUCAUCCAAAGUCCUAAGUAGUAAAUGUGGGAAAACAUCCAUUGAGUUUUCCUCUCGUAGCUAAACAUAUCUCCUGUAUUCCAUGGAGAACUAUCUUAACUUUUUUAUCAAUUAAAGAAAAUGAUUUGUGAGUAAAAACUUUUGAUGGCAUAUAUGUUGCAACAGUGAAGCAACUUAAAAUCAUAAAGCACUUAUAAUCAAAUAUCACUAAGUGGAACCACUGUGUCCUCUGUAGAUGCUCUGACAUUUUAGGAUAGGAAAACCUACCCAGUAAAACAAACUCUCCUUGGAAAACACAUUCUGUUCUCCACUUAUUUGAGUUCAUUUACAAACAUUUUUACCUUUUAAUUUACCCAACAUUGAGGUAAAGUAGAUUUGGACUUGAGCACUUUAACUGGAGGACCAACAGCUGCAUGGUUCCAGUGGCCAAGUGAGGCAGCCACGGGGCUCCUCCAGGGAACACCUCUGUGUUCUCAGCACAGACACAGGGGCUGGCAGAUAUUUUUGAAGACAGCCCAAAAGUCUCUUCCAUCAGCCUUGUUUGGGUUCCAUGAGAUGAUUUUUUACAGCUUUCAAAAGGCCAAAUUACUAAAACCCUCCAUUGUAAACAUGGGCUCUAGUAAGAGUAAACCAGACCCACCUCCACCAGCUUUCAGCACAGCUCUAGAGCAAGGCCAAGAGAAGCAUCUGCCGCAGCCAAGCCCACCUAUGUACUAAGCCAUGCAGCCACCCACUGCCUCACCCACCUAUGUGCUGAGCCACGCAGACGCCCACUGCCUUAUCUUAAGUCCUAGGGUGGAAGGUUCUAAUCACAGCCAGCCCUUCACCAUUCUCAACAGACUUUAAUGACCCACAGGAAGCUCCAUGAUCAAGUCUUCUUCUGCCCUCUUUCUCUAACUGCAAAAAGACUGCAUAAGAUCAGAAGCAUGACAGAAAACAUCCACAGGGGCAUUUCUGAUGUUUUUCUGCGCAUGGUUUCUGGUGGUCUGCAUUGGAUAAUCUUAAAGGUUUCAGUAGACAUCUAAAAAUAUGAAAGCAUCCUGUGGAGGAAUUCCAGAGGCUUGCAUUUCUUUUCCCGCAUUCUUCUGUAGAGAUUCCUUCCACGUUUGCUGUGUUUGUGUGUGUGUUUGGAUGUAUGGCAGGGAAACUUCAAGCUUCUUUGAAUUAUUUUGCGUUUCCUGCCCUGAUAGAGCUGCUACAGGGAACGCUGGGCAGCCAUUCACAUUCGCGAUGUGCUCCAGUGCUCUUCAAAGCAUAGUGGAAAACAAAACGGGAAAACCUUCCAUUCAUGUUUUAUUAUCACCAUGUCUGAAUUUCUAAAAGCUGAGGUGUUGUCUUUUAUCAUGCCUUCUAUGAAACACACAACAUAUGGAUCUGUUCAUGAGAUGUAAAAUUUGACAAUACAAUUUCUUAGCUUUUUAUAGAAACCUGACUGUAAAGAAACCAUUUUUGGCCGGGCACAG
rnacentral:lncRNA from 1 species